CAAAAAAGUGUAGAGAUCAUAGUUCUUAUUUUCGCCACUAGCAGCAGUCCGAACUCCAACGUACUAAAUUAUUAUUAUUAUUUUAGAUUGAAACUGAUAGUUGAUAAUUUCUGCCAUUGUUCAAUUUGUGAUAUAAAAAUUGUUUUUUUUUUAUAAACAAUUAAAAUAAUGGGACGGUGUUGUGUAGUAAAUGGUUGUUUAAGUGGUCGUAAAGUGCAAGAAGACAAAAAUAUUUUACAUUCACGAAAACAUCGCUUAUUCAAAGUGCCAAAGAAGCCAGAUUUACUGGAAAAAUGGAGCACAGCAAUUGGCCAAGAGUUGAAAUCAACAAACUGUGUGCAGAGCUACAAUAAAACCAGGUGCAAUACCUCACUUAAAUGUAAAUCAAUGUUAUGAUAGUGGCUGCGAUAAUGAUAAUUUAUCAGUUAUCAAUUCUAUGGACAUUGUUGAUGACGAAGUCAACGUUGAUGUCCUUCAAGAAAAUAAUUCCUUAUUAAUACAGCCUGUUGUCAAUAAUUUAGAAAAUGUAAACGCUAUAAAACAUGCUGAUCUUUUUU